rnacentral:rRNA from 1 species
UACGGAGGGUCCGAGCGUUAAUCGGAAUUACUGGGCGUAAAGCGUGCGUAGGCGGAUAAUUAAGUCAGAUGUGAAAUCCCGGGGCUCAACCUCGGAACUGCAUUUGAAACUGGUUAUCUAGAGUUUUGUAGAGGGUGGUGGAAUUUCCAGUGUAGCGGUGAAAUGCGUAGAGAUUGGAAGGAACAUCAGUGGCGAAGGCGGCCACCUGGACAAAAACUGACGCUGAGGCACGAAAGCGUGGGGAGCAAACAGG